AUACGGAGGGUGCAAGCGUUAAUCGGAAUUACUGGGCGUAAAGAGUACGUAGGCGGUUCGUUAAGUUAGAUGUGAAAGCCCCGGGCUUAACCUGGGAACUGCAUUUAAAACUGGCGAACUAGAGUUGAGUAGAGGGGAGUGGAAUUUCAGGUGUAGCGGUGAAAUGCGUAGAGAUCUGAAGGAACACCAGUGGCGAAGGCGACUCCCUGGACUCGAACUGACGCUGAGGUACGAAAGCGUGGGUAGCAAACGGGAUUAGAAACCCCAGUAGUCC
rnacentral:rRNA from 1 species